AUUGAACGCUGGCGGCAGGCCUAACACAUGCAAGUCGAACGGUAACAGGAAACAGCUUGCUGUUUCGCUGACGAGUGGCGGACGGGUGAGUAAUGUCUGGGAAACUGCCUGAUGGAGGGGGAUAACUACUGGAAACGGUAGCUAAUACCGCAUAACGUCGCAAGACCAAAGAGGGGGACCCUCGGGCCUCUUGCCAUCGGAUGUGCCCAGAUGGGAUUAGCUUGUUGGUGGGGUAACGGCUCACCAAGGCGACGAUCCCUAGCUGGUCUGAGAGGAUGACCAGCCACACUGGAACUGAGACACGGUCCAGACUCCUACGGGAGGCAGCAGUGGGGAAUAUUGCACAAUGGGCGCAAGCCUGAUGCAGCCAUGCCGCGUGUAUGAAGAAGGCCUUCGGGUUGUAAAGCCCUUUCCGCGGGGAGGAAGGGAGUAAAGUUAAUACCUUUGCUCAUUGACGUUACCCGCAGAAGAAGCACCGGCUAACUCCGUG
rnacentral:rRNA from 1 species